UACGUAGGGUGCAAGCGUUAAUCGGAAUUACUGGGCGUAAAGCGUGCGCAGGCGGUUCGACAAGUCUGAUGUGAAAGCCCCGGGCUCAACCUGGGAAUGGCAUUGGAAACUGGCGAGCUAGAGUGUGGCAGAGGGGGGUGGAAUUCCGCGUGUAGCAGUGAAAUGCGUAGAGAUGCGGAGGAACACCGAUGGCGAAGGCAGCCCCCUGGGCUUUCACUGACGCUCAGGCACGAAAGCGUGGGGAGCAAACAGG
rnacentral:rRNA from 1 species